AGUCCAAAGAGGACAAUAUAGGGUCGAAUGGUAUCAGAGCCAGACACCGGGCGAUGUACCAGCGAAGAGGCUAAGCUCUGAAAGGGAGGGUGGACACGAGGCGGUGUGCCAGCAAGGAUGUUGAGCCCUAAAGGGGGGUGGAUUGGGGGAUCCCACA